UCCCUAUCUGCCGUGGGCGCUGGAGAACUGAGGGGGGCUGCUCCUAGUACGAGAGGACCGGAGUGGACGCAUCACUGGUGUUCGGGUUGUCAUGCCAAUGGCACUGCCCGGUAGCUAAAUGCGGAAGAGAUAAGUGCUGAAAGCAUCUAAGCACGAAACUUGCCCCGAGAUGAGUUCUCCCUGACUCCUUGAGAGUCCUGAAGGAACGUUGAAGACGACGACGUUGAUAGGCCGGGUGUGUAAGCGCAGCGAUGCGUUGAGCUAACCGGUACUAAUGAACCGUGAGGCUUAACCUU
rnacentral:rRNA from 1 species